rnacentral:rRNA from 1 species
UACGUAGGGUGCGAGCGUUAAUCGGAAUUACUGGGCGUAAAGCGUGCGCAGGCGGUUUUGUAGGCCAGAUGUGAAAUCCCCGGGCUUAACCUGGGAAUUGCAUUUUGAACUGGCAGUCUAGAGUGUGUCAGAGGGGGGUGGAAUUCCACGUGUAGCAGUGAAAUGCGUAGAUAUGUGGAGGAAUACCGAUGGCGAAGGCAGCCCCCUGGGAUAACACUGACGCUCAUGUACGAAAGCGUGGGUAGCAAACAGG